CUGCUGCCUCCCGUAGGAGUCUGGGCCGUGUCUCAGUCCCAGUGUGGCUGGUCGUCCUCUCAGACCAGCUACUGAUCGUUGCUUUGGUGAGCCGUUACCUCACCAACCGGCUAAUCAGUCAUCGGCCGCUCCGCUCGCGAGAGGCCCUUGCGGUCCCCUNUUCUCGUAGAACUCAUGCGGUAUUAGCCAACCUUUCGGCUGGUUCGUCCCCCACGAGCGGACACGUUCCGAUGUAUUACUCACCCGUUCGCCUA
rnacentral:rRNA from 1 species